rfam:Drosophila persimilis strain MSH-3 cont1.016187, whole genome shotgun sequence.
AAUGGGUAAGAGCCUUAACUUUCUUGAUAUGAAGUUUAAGGUUAUGAUAUAAUGUGCCCAGUGGGCCACUUUUGGUAAGCAGAACUGGCGCUGUGGGAUGAACCAAACGUAAUGUUACGGUGCCCAAAUUAACAACUCAUGCAGAAACCAUGAAAGGCGUUGGUUGCUUAAAACAGCAGGACGGUGAUCAUGGAAGUCGAAAUCCGCUAAGGAGUGUGUAACAACUCACCUGCCGAAGCAACUAGCCCUUAAAAUGGAUGGCGCUUAAGUUGUAUACCUAUACAUUACCGCUAAAGUAGAUGAUUUAUAUUACUUGUGAUAUAAAUUUUGAAACUUUAGUGAGUAGGAAGGUACAAUGGUAUGCGUAGAAGUGUUUGGCGUAAGCCUUCAUGGAGCUGCCAUUGGCACAGAUCUUGGUGGUAGUAGCAAAUAAUCGAAUGAGACCUUGGAGGACUGAAGUGGAGAAGGGUUUCGUGUGAACAGUGGUUGAUCACGAGUUAGUCGGUCCUAAGUUCAAGGCGAAAGCCGAAAAUUUUCAAGUAAAAAAUCAGUGAGUAAUAUUGUCAAAUCUUUUAUGAUUUUUAAAUACUUGAAUAAUUUUGAACGAAAGGGAAUACGGUUCCAAUUCCGUAACCUGUUGAGUAUCCGUUUGUUAUUAAAUAUGGGCCUCGUGCUCAUCCUGGCAACAGGAACGACCAUAAAGAAGCCGUCGAGAGAUAUCGGAAGAGUUUUCUUUUCUGUUUUAUAGCCGUACUACCAUGGAAGUCUUUCACAGAGAGAUAUGGUAGAUGGGCUAGAAGAGCAUGACAUAUACUGUUGUGUCGAUAUUUUCUCCUCGGACCUUGAAAAUUUAUGGUGGGGACACGCAAACUUCUCAACAGGCCAUACCAAUAUCCGCAGCUGGUCUCCAAGGUGAAGAGUCUCUAGUCGAUAGAAUAAUGUAGGUAAGGGAAGUCGGCAAAUUAGAUCCGUAACUUCGGGAUAAGGAUUGGCUCUGAAGAUUGAGAUAGUCGGGCUUGAUUGGGAAACAAAUAACAUGGUUUAUGUGCUCGUUCUGGGUAAAUAGAGUUUCUAUCAUUUAUGGUAGUUACUUGUUCCCCGGAUAGUUUAGUUACGUAGCCAAUUGUGGAACUUUCUUGCUAAAAUUUUUAAGAAUACUAAUUGGGUUAAACCAGUUAGUUCUUAUUAAUUAUAACGAUUAUCAAUUAACAAUCAAUUCAGAACUGGCACGGACUUGGGGAAUCCGACUGUCUAAUUAAAACAAAGCAUUGUGAUGGCCCUAGCGGGUGUUGACACAAUGUGAUUUCUGCCCAGUGCUCUGAAUGUCAAAGUGAAGAAAUUCAAGUAAGCGCGGGUCAACGGCGGGAGUAACUAUGACUCUCUUAAGGAAGAUAUGGAUCUGAACAAUAGCGUAGAAGGGGAGUCAUUCCGUAAUUCGUAAAUCGUAAAAAUUAGAUCAAGUUGAUUCAAGACCUCCUCGUGGUAUCUUCUGGAUGCUAUUAGACUAAAGU